CACUUACUGUGGGUCUGUGGACGACACUUCCAAAGCUUCACAUGUCCCCACAAUGUGCAGAAGCCUUAAGGCUCACACUCCUCUCCCAGCAGUAAAUCAGAGGCACUCUCACAAUACUUGGUCACCAAUAGCUGAGCCUGCUUCAAGAAGCAUCUUGAUAAUGUACUCGCUAUCAGAGCAAAGUAAGGCAGCCGUAUGCAAAGGAUCAUUAAGGGUCAGAUGAAGAAAAAUCUUUGUCGAGAAACUUCUGGGAGUUUCCUGGUGUUGCUGGUUGUGUGUUGGAGGUGAUGUGUUCACUGAAGGCUUCAGUAUCGUUGUGUUUCAGAUCUACAUCACCAAUUGUACAGUCAUUUUGGAAACUGCCUCAACUGAGCUCUCUAGCACCUUUAACUCUUCACACAAUCCCACUGAAAAUAGGCAAGAGAGACACUCAUAAACAACCACUGAAUAGGAAAAAGUAAGUGUCCCACUCACACGAUCAUUAGUUACUACUAAAAAAUAUUUAUGGCACUGUAAAAUCUCAUGUCUCUCCCUUGGCUUGAAAAGUUCUGUUAUUUCUUAUUCUCUAUUGUUCCAUACUAUUUAUAACUUCUAGCUGCCCAGGUCAUACUCCCUGUAGUUCCCCUGCCAGGUUAGAAGAAUGUUUUUGUCCUUUUCUGUCUAAAAUUACUCCAGCACGCUUUAUCUUCUGUUUCCUCUAAUUAUUUUCUCCAGUUCAUUGUUCCUGAUAUUGUUCCUAAACUGAACGUAUUGAUUUCCUGUCUCUCCUCCUGUCUUUUGUUUAUUAAGAUGAUAAAUGCUUUAAGAUAGAGCCUGUUCUUUGUUACACAUAUUGAAUCUCUCUUGGAUCUUACAAGCAAAUCACCAUCCCAAAUUUAAGAGCUGAAUCACAAAUCGAAUAAGUUU
rnacentral:lncRNA from 1 species